GAUAACUGGCUUGUGGCAGCCAAGCGUUCAUAGCGACGGUGCUUUUUAAUCCUUCGAUGUCGACUCGUUUGAUUGUUUAUUGGUUUUUAAGACGUCUUCUAACGACU
rfam:Ciona savignyi cont_7376, whole genome shotgun sequence.